GCCUUCGUGGUGUAGUGGUUAGCACGCUGGACGCGUAUUCCACAGGCUCGUGGUUCGAGUCUCGACGAAGGCG
rnacentral:tRNA from 1 species